rnacentral:lncRNA from 10 species
AAGGGCGCUGCCCUGGACUCAGGGAGCUCACUCCUCCUCUCUGGGCAACAGAGAAAAGUCACCCACUGCAGCAAAAGCCAUGAGAAUAUGCUCAGUGAUAAGGCAGUGGCGUUAAAUCUGCAGGCAGUGGGCUAUCUGUGGGUCCUUAAAUCUAUUUAGUGCAUCUUGAACAGUAUUUUUAAGCUGGGAUAAGUGGAAUAGGAAGGAGUGGAGUGGAGCAUGAUGAUCAUGGACAAAGCACUUAAAACCACACAGUGUAAGGGACUACAGUCCCUUAGGAGCUGCUUUUGCAAUAAUUUACCUGAAAACUGAUGAUUCCCCCAACAACCCUGGGAGGUGGCAAGAUAGGAUCAUGCUUCUCCUUGCAAAGCUGAGACGAUGGGGACUUGGCAAGGCUGAGAGACUCUCUGGAGGUUGACAGCUGAGAGGUCAGAGCACCAGACCUGGGGGUCCCACAGCCCAGCUCCCAGUGUGGAGGGUCCUGCUGUGCCCACUGCCACCAAAAACACAGCUUCGCCCAGCAUCAUGCAGUAUCUGCCACACAGCGUCUGUCUGCCACAUGGCAUCUGCCACCUGAACUAUCUCCAGGCACCUCUGCAGUUACAGCAACAGUGUCCAUCAGGAAGGGUGAGGUUGGCUGUGAUUCAGAUUUCAGCUUAGCUGCUGUCUUUGCUGGAAGUCACCCCCCAAGACCUGUCUCAAGAUCUCCUCCACCUCCUCCUUCAGGACUCAGGUCAAAUGUCCUCCCCUCAUUUACUGAGUCCCCACCGGUCGUCGCUCCACCACUUCAGCCUGGUUAAGUUUCUUUCUAGCACAUUUCACUGUCCAAAGUCAUCUUGAGUGUCGCUUUGACUUCUUGCUUGUUGCGUGUCUUUGACUGCGAGUGUCAGGUCCAUGGGGGCAGGAACUGGGGCACAGCUGCAUCUGCAUCCCUAGUACCUGGAACCAUGCCUGGCACAAGCAUUGUUCAACAAACACCUGCAGGAUGAGCGGGAGGCGCUGCCCCUGGAAGAUGCUGGAAGAAACCGCCAAGGCGGCCCCAUCCAACCUGUGCACUGAACACAGGAAGCCACAGGAGCAGGGGGCAUGAGAUGGCCCCUGAGGCUGUGCUCAUGACCACCCGGUGGCACUGCCACACAGGCACGCCAACCACUUACCUGUUACGUGACCUUGAGCAAGUUUUUUAACCUGUCUAGGCCUGUUUCCUCAUCUGUAGAAUGACGAUAGUCAUCAUAGAGUAACUGUAAGGAAUACAUUUCCUGAGUCCAUCCAUCCACAUAUUCAUGUAACAUAGCAUCACGUGAAUGUGAGUCAUGAUCGUUCAACUUAUUGUCAUCGCCCAGGACAAGGACGGCCUGAAAUUCUUGAGACUGGUAAGAUUUGCAGGCAGAACCUCAAAAGUGGUGGAGGGAGACCCAUCCACACUCAUCACAGUCAUCACUGGGGCCGGGAGAUAAACCACUGAGACCUCUUCAGCCUUGAUCUGCCAGCCACAGCUAAGAAGGGAGCCAUGCUCCUGUGUUCUGGUCCCAAGGGACUUUGUUGGGAUCCUCCCCAUCGCUAUUUGAUUACACAAGUGACAGACCCCAGUAACUGCCACCUUCCAGGCCUCUAGCCUCGUCCACAUUUCCCUUCAUUGUGAGCUCCUUUGCUCCUGUCUUGCUGGAUUCUUCAUUUCAAACAUCCCAGUGCAAGGUCCUCUGGAAACCUUGAACUGUGUCUGUUGCCUGCAUUCCUUAG